rnacentral:lncRNA from 1 species
AAUUAUUUAAUCAAAAAAAGAAAAUAAAGAAAAUAAAAAAGGACCCUCUUCAUGGAAGAUCAUUUCUUUUUUUUUAAAACCAACAACUUUUCAACAUUCAUCAAUAUUUUAGGACUUGUCAUACACCUUCCAUGGCAAUUUCGCAAAAAACGAAUUCCUAUUAUCAGAUUUCUAUACUAUACUUUUUUUUUUGUGGUUUUUCUUUCUAUAUUCAUGAUCUGAUGCUCCAUCCAUUGCCCCUAUAAAAAAAUUUAUUUCAUCUCCAAUCCAGGUAAGAUUUAAAUAAAUCUUUUUUUGGUAUUUAAAUUUUUCUCAGAUUUUGAAGUGCUUCAAGGAUUACAAAAGCAAGACAACGCGUUUUACCAAGUCGGACUUUGCAGAUGAUGUUGUCUAAUAACGUUUUACUAAGAUCCUAAAUCAUGAAAACCUUCUGUGGGGUCUAGGCGAAUACACAUUUUUAUGACUACUUUUUGGGUAGUUUACAUGAAUGGUGAGAGAGAUUUCUAAAAUUACAAUCACUUUUUACUUAGAACUUAAAUCAUGAUAAUCUUUUGUGGGGUCUAGAGGAAUAAAGUGAUUGAAAAACACUCAAAUAUGGUUUCUAUAGAGAGAGAUUUCUAAAACUACAGUCACUUUUUAUUGAGAGAAUAUUAUAAUGGUUCCACCCGGUAAUAAUUCGUGGGGCACAUUUUCAUGGAAUAGAGUGAGAAACACUGAUAUUUGAGAUGAAGUUUUGUGGGCCUAGAGUAACAAAAGCAUGUGUACAUACAAGCAUGUCGGCCUGGAUUUAGAAACAUCUAUGAAGUAUAUGACAAAAGCAUACGUACAUACAAGCAUGUCGGCCUGGAUUUAGAAACAUUUAUGAAAUAUAUGACAAGAAGUUGGUCUAGAGAGAGAAAUUAAGGGAGAAACAUAACUGUUUUUUCAGGAUUUGCAUAGCGUGAGACAAUUGCAUGGGAGAGGUGGCGGGAUCACAAAAAAAAGUUAUCAAUUAAAAAAUAUUAAAAAUAAAAUAGUAUCGAGGGUGACAUUGUGAUUAGGGCCAUCUAAACCGUCCAUUCAGAAUGAACGGUUGGAUAGAAGAAGUAUAGAAGUUUUAUGCUACAAGGGAAGUAUAGAAAGCUUUCUCUAGGGAAAGAUUUGUAUGCUUCCCUCACCGCAUAAAAGAUAUAUAGUCCCCCUUCCGCUAGCCGUUCAAUGUAGAUCUAGUGAGCCACUAACUACUUAAUCUACAUCUGACACUUUAUAGUAUUUUAUUUUUAAUUUUUUUCUACUAACUAUAUGAACA